rnacentral:rRNA from 1 species
UACGAAGGGUGCAAGCGUUACUCGGAAUUACUGGGCGUAAAGCGUGCGUAGGUGGUUCGUUAAGUCUGAUGUGAAAGCCCGGGGCUCAACCCCGGGUCGGCCGCGGGUACUGCCGGGCUGGAGUGCCGUAGGGGCAGGCGGAAUUCCGGGUGUAGCGGUGGAAUGCGUAGAGAUCCGGAAGAACACCAGUGGCGAAGGCGGCGACCUGGGCCAAUAUUGACGCUGAGGUGCGAAAGCGUGGGGAGCAAACAGG